rnacentral:tRNA from 1 species
GAAAUAGUGAAAUUUAAAGUUUCUAACUUUAAUUAAAAUAAUAAAUUAUUUAUAUUUUUAUUUAU